UGGCCACCUACACAAGGACUGCCCAGAAAAGGAGAACUCUGCCUCCACCACAGUAUGUUGCAACUGCCGAUUGGCAGAAGGAGAAAAGCCGCAUCCAGCCAAUUAUCAUGGUUGCAAAUAUGCCAAGGAAGAGCAACAGAAAAGGAAGGCUCAGAGAAUGUCAAAAACUACCACAGGGAGGGUGUUCUCUUCAACUAUCGUCACCCCAGAUGUCUCCUUCGAGGUGGCACUGAGGCGGUACAGUAGAGCAGCAACAGCGCCCUCAGGAAAGCCAUGUUCUGGUGGCUCCACCCCCAACAAGGAAGUAGAUUAUACCAUCCCCGGCACUGCAGAAGGAAACAGCAGGAAUGCUGAGAAUUCUGCUACAGAGAGCUGAAGAAACAUUUCCUGCUGAGACAGAAAGGAUGAACUGUACAAAUUCAGAGAAGGUUUUAGUGGGUCCACAUGGUGAGACGUACCCAGCAAGUCAUGAUGCAAAACAGGCCAUGAAUAUAAAAGCUGAGGAAGUUUCAGAUGCAGAAGAGGAAGCAGAUCCUCUGCAAAUAACAGUUCA